ensembl:lncRNA
CGAAAGGGGGUGAGAAAGAGGCGAUGGUACGCAUCAAUUUGUAGUCUUCAGUUGGCACCCCUGUUUUUGUUUUUGGCCCGCAACGAGCAGAAAGAGGUCCGUCUGCGUUAUUGUUAUUAUCGGUGCCCGUUGCAAUAUGAGCCAGCACGAGCUUCUGUUGACAGACGGCCGGGCUCCGAGGCGUGCGUGUCGGCGUGCAACAUAAAACGACGAAACGGAGGCAGAGAAAGGACGAGAGAGUGAGAGUGAGAGCACACAUCGCGGGAUAUCAUAGGUAAGUGAAAGAAAGAAGGGGGGGGGGGGGGUAUAGAUGCUUAUAACGUUUAUUUGCAGCUACUCCUGCCGGCCACGUUUGUCCUCUCCCUCCCCAUGUUUUUUUUCUUCUCCCUUUGUGCUUUAAUUAUCGUCAUACACUCCUGCGUUAUGGCUGAAUUACGUCCCGGUGAAUGCAUGGUAACAGAGGGUGCACGACGCGCACCCACAUUCCAGCGAGGAAGGAAGAAAAAAAAAAAAAAAGAAGAAAAAAAAGGAGAACCGGUUUCGAAAUGCCACGAUUCGCCAUUCCAUAUCAUCUUUCUUCUUUUAAAAAAAAAUAUGUUUGGCGUCUACAAACAGUACCGCGCGGGCCAUCCGUUCUGAUCGGGAACAUGGAUGUGCUGCUGUUUUGGUAGCUUCCAUGGUGCAACAUACAGCUGUCUCAGUAACCAAAAGGAACCACUUCAGUCCCUGCAAUGGCUUGUGUUACAAAAUGGUCAUUUUAAAGAAGAAAUAAUGAAAACACGGACACACAAAGAAUCGAUGCCCAUGCGCAGUGGGCGACGGCGGGGGGCGAGUGAGGAAAGGAGGGGGAGACGCCCGCACACCAGCCCCACUCGCCCUGAACGCAACGAUAGACAGACGCAAAGAGCUGCUGGUGAGGAAUUGGCUGGAAAUCGCUUCAGUCGCAGAUCACAAGGGCGUGAUUCUUCAGAGAGUGAGGGGGAGGAACUUGUGUCUCCUCCUAAGAGGCAGAAAGUUCAGGAUUCGGCCUCUACCCCAAACCCACCAACAUCAACGGACAGCUCGGCUCCUUCCACUGUCCCACCUCCAACCUCAGUCGCCAGCCAAUCCCGCGAGAGUGACAAUGAAGAUGGCCAAUCCCAGGGCAGUAGAAGUUCAGUUGUAGGGAGCCUGGCCAAUAGUAGCAGCAGUCUGAGCAGUGGGCGGGAUAUAGACCAGGACAACCGCUCCUCGUCCCCAAGUCUCUCCGCUUCUCCUUUGGGUAGCUUGGACUCUGACUCCGAUGGAUCCGACUCACCAAAGCAAGGAGAGAGGGAAAGAGAGAAAGGCAAGGAGGGGGGGUUGGGGAAGU